rnacentral:rRNA from 1 species
UACGUAGGGGGCAAGCGUUAUCCGGAUUUACUGGGUGUAAAGGGAGCGCAGACGGAUUUGCAAGUCUGAAGUGAAACUCCACGGCUCAACCGUGGACUUGCUUUGGAAACUGUAGAUCUAGAGUACUGGAGAGGUAAGCGGAACUCCUAGUGUAGCGGUGAAAUGCGUAGAUAUUAGGAGGAACAUCGGUGGCGAAGGCGGCUUACUGGACAGCAACUGACGUUGAGGCUCGAAGGCGUGGGGAGCAAAC